rnacentral:misc_RNA from 1 species
CAGCGUCAGAGUGGUAUAAGAGACAGGUGAGUCAUCGAAUCUUUGAACGCACAUUGCGCCCUUUGGUAUUCCGAGGGGCACGCCUGUUCGAGCGUCAUUUAAACCAUCAAGCACCGCUUGGUCUUGGGCGAGGUCGAGCGACCCGUCCGCAACCCGUUGGCGGCACCGUCCGGCUUCAAGCGUAGCAAUCAUUUCGCUUCAGGAGCUCGUGGCGGCGCUUGCCUGACAACUCACAUCCUAAGUUUGACCUCGGAUCAGGUGGGGAUACCCGCUGAACUUAAGCAUAUCAAUAAGCGGAGG